rnacentral:rRNA from 1 species
AGCAGCCGCGGUAAUUCCAGCUCCAAUAGCGUAUAUUAAAGUUGUUGCAGUUAAAAAGCUCGUAGUUGAAUUUCGGGAUCAGUUGAUCGGUCGUGCCUCGGUACGUACUGGUCAAAUUGAUUCCUACCUUCUGACGAACCACGAUGUCAUUAAUUUGGUGUCGCGGGAAAUCAGGACUGUUACUUUGAAAAAUUAGAGUGUUUAAAGCAGGCUCGCGCUUGAAUACAUUAGCAUGGAAUAAUGAAAUAGGACGUUUGAUUCUAUUUUGUUGGUUUCUAGGAUCGACGUAAUGAUUAAUAGGGAUAGUUGGGGGCAUUAGUAUUCAAUUGUCAGAGGUGAAAUUCUUGGAUUUAUUGAAGACUAACUACUGCGAAAGCAUUUGCCAAGGAUGUUUUCAUUAAUCAAGAACGAAAGUUAGGGGAUCGAAGACGAUCAGAUACCGUCGUAGUCUUAACCAUAAACUAUGCCGACUAGGGAUCGGAUGAUGUUAAUUUUUAAUGACUCAUUCGGCGCCUUAAC